CCUACGGGUGGCAGCAGUGAGGAAUAUUGGUCAAUGGACGAGAGUCUGAACCAGCCAAGUAGCGUGAAGGAUGACUGCCCUAUGGGUUGUAAACUUCUUUUAUAUGGGAAUAAAAUGUUCCACGUGUGGUCUUUUGUAUGUACCAUAUGAAUAAGGAUCGGCUAACUCCGUGCCAGCAGCCGCGGUAAUACGGAGGAUCCGAGCGUUAUCCGGAUUUAUUGGGUUUAAAGGGUGCGUAGGUGGAUUGUUAAGUCAGUGGUGAAAGUUUGCGGCUCAACCGGAAAAUUGCAGUUGAAACUGGCAGUCUUGAGUAUAGUAGAGGUGGGCGGAAUGUGUGGUGUAGCGGUGAAAUGCUUAGAUAUCACGAAGAACUCCGAUUGCGAAGGCAGCUCACUGGACUGCAACUGACAUUGAGGCUCGAAAGUGUGGGUAUCAAACAGGAUUAGAUACCCUUGUAGUC
rnacentral:rRNA from 1 species